rnacentral:rRNA from 1 species
AUUGAACGCUGGCGGCAGGCCUAACACAUGCAAGUCGAACGAGAGGCGGACGGAUGAGUAAUGACUGGGAACCUGCCUGGUGGAGAGGGACAAACACUGGAAACGAUUGCUAAUACCGCAUACCAUCGGAUGUGCCGAGAUGGGAUUAGCUAGUAGGUGGGGUAAAGGCGCACCUAGGCGACGAUCCCUAGUUGGUAUGAGAGGAGGACCAGCCACAUUGGAACUGAGACAGGGUCUAGAUUCCUACGGGAGGCAGCAGUGGGGAAUUGUGGACAAUGGGGGCAAGCCUGAUAAAGCCAUGCCGCGUGUAUGAAGAAGGCCUUCGGGUUGUAAAGUACUUUUGGCAGGAAGGCGUUACCCGCAGAAGAAGCACCGGCUAACUCCGUGCCAGCAGCCGCGGUAAUUC